CCUGACUGACUUUUCAACGAACUCCUUGCCACUGGUGGUGACUUCAACCGUCACUUUUCUGUCAUGCAUCUGACUGCAAGCUGUAAAAACUCUGCCGCCAUCAUAUCCAAGGCAGUGAGUUGUGAGGACUGCUUCCCUGACAACACUGAGUGCAUUCUGGAAUAUUCCAAAUGUGUGCCACUUCCAUACAAAAGAAGUUCAAAUCCUGCAAGAGAGUUCACUCACCAGUGGGCUCCAUCAACAGACCAGGGCAAAGUCGGUCUGUCCUGCUACUACUACAUGCUACUUGACUAUGUCUGGAAGCCAUGGCUGCUGCCCUCAACAUGCUAAACUGAAACCCUCACAAAUAAACUGAUAUCAAUAAUUGGUGAUAACAUAACAUUGAUGGUGAUGGUGGCAAGGGUGCCUUCAUAAGGUGCCAUCCAGAAAGUCCCAGCCUGGAGCCAGAGGCUGGCACUGCACGUCAGAUGGGGGAGGAUCUAUGUUAGGCAUCAGAAAGGUGGUUUAAGCAAGAAGGAAAGAGCUUCUGCAGACAGUGUUGCAAUUAGACACCUGACUUUUACUGCCAAAGGGACCAUCAGAGCACCUUUCCCUACCAUCUAUACCAGAAGAGUACGGACAAGGGCCCAAAAUGUUUUAAAGGACGUUGCACGCCCAGACCAUGGACUGUUUAAACCACUGUGGUCAAGCAGAAGUCUCUGUUCUCACUCGAGGCAGGUCAUUGAGAGGGGGCGAGUGUCACUGCGUAAGCCCCCUACUGCAGGCGAGAAAGCCAUGUUGAUUUGAAUAUUAAUUGAUAAAUACAAUAAAGGCCAUGUAACAAA